rnacentral:rRNA from 1 species
GUUGGUGGUGUGAAUUGUCUGGUUGAUUCCGUUAACGAACGAGACCUUCGCCUACUAAAUAGCUGCUGGAAGAUAUUGCAUUAAGGCCGGGGGGCCUACCUAUGGAAGGAUCCGUUCCCCAUGGGUGGUCGUUCUCCUGGUUGCUUUUCUUCCAGAAAAUGCUUCUUAGAGGGACUAUUUGUGACAAGCAAAUGGAAGUUGGAGGCAAAAACAGG